UAUGGUCUUCAAAUGCCCUUGUGUAUGCGUGACUUGUCUCAAAUUAACAUGUACUGAUUGUUUCAAAACUUCAGAACAGAGUUUCAAAUAAAGCAUAAAUUAGUUAUCACUACAUCUUUAAAACAACCAGUAAAAUUACCAUCAUGUACUCCAGGAUAUGCUGCUUUCUUCUGAUGGUUUCAUUUGGCUUGGUAUUGAGUCAACUGGUGACACCGUUCAUGAUAUGUGAGUGGGAGCAGAUGAAACUUCGUAACGUUUCUCACGGUGUCAGUUUUGACAAUCCUGUCAUGGUAGAGAUCCGCGACUACUGCAGCCAUCAUGCAUACCAGCAUAUCGGCAAUCUGGGAACACUGGGCAAAUAGAUUCGAGUCACUGUUAAUCAAUACAUAAUGGAUAUGCU